UGGGGAAUAUUGGACAAUGGGCGCAAGCCUGAUCCAGCCAUGCCGCGUGAGUGAUGAAGGCCCUAGGGUUGUAAAGCUCUUUCACCGGUGAAGAUAAUGACGGUAACCGGAGAAGAAGCCCCGGCUAACUUCGUGCCAGCAGCCGCGGUAAUACGAAGGGGGCUAGCGUUGUUCGGAUUUACUGGGCGUAAAGCGCACGUAGGCGGACUAUUAAGUCAGGGGUGAAAUCCCGGGGCUCAACCCCGGAACUGCCUUUGAUACUGGUAGUCUUGAGUUCGGGAGAGGUGAGUGGAAUUCCGAGUGUAGAGGUGAAAUUCGUAGAUAUUCGGAGGAACACCAGUGGCGAAGGCGGCUCACUGGCUCGAUACUGACGCUGAGGUGCGAAAGCGUGGGGAGCAAACAGG
rnacentral:rRNA from 2 species